rnacentral:rRNA from 1 species
UACAGAGGGUGCGAGCGUUAAUCGAAAUUACUGGGCGUAAAGCGCGCGUAGGCGGCUUUGCAAGUCGGAUGUGAAAUCCCCGGGCUCAACCUGGGAACUGCAUUCGAGACUGCAUUGCUAGAGUAUGGGAGAGGGAAGUGGAAUUUCAGGUGUAGCGGUGAAAUGCGUAGAUAUCUGAAGGAACAUCAGUGGCGAAAGCGACUUCCUGGACCAAUACUGACGCUCAUGUGCGAAAGCGUGGGGAGCGAACAGG